ACAUAUUUGGAAUUUCUGAGUAUUCGUGGCAAGUCUCUCAAAUCUGCUGCCUGGACAGCCAUCUCAGGUUGCAGAAGCAGUUGUUGCAGAACAUCCAGAAAGAACAGUCGUUUCAAGGACAGAAACCAGGACAGAGUACUUUAAGCACUUGCAUAAUCAAAGACUAAAGAAUUGAAUGGAGACACCACGGCACAAGGGUAUGUGGGGCUUCACAAAAAAAUCUCCAAAGCUUUAAGAUCUAUCUCUGAGGAUCACCUCACUUCCUCAUAGCGCUUCUGUAUCAGUCAACAUCCAAUCAAGAGACAGAAAACCACAUACUAACUUGAACAAGGAAAGUUUAUAAACUCCAAUAAGGUCUCAGCUAUUAUGGGGAAAAGAGGUCUCUAAAGAAUUCAAGAAUAGCAUAUGGAAUGAGCAACCACAUCCUUUAGGGUUGAAGCAGAGCAUCUAAAGAAGGAAGAGAUCUGGAAGACUUCCCUACCUGCCCAGAAAGGAUAUGCAGACCUUCUUGUAGAAUGUUUAACUAUGGCUUACCAGAGUAUAGAGAAGCUCGUUUAGAUGAUACACAGUGGAAAUAACUUAGAAGGUUCCCUCUAGGGUACUGGGAGAAACUGUCUACAGGGAGGUGCCAUUUAUUUUGGGCAGCCUUACAAUGCUCACCACCACAUACUGUUGGCUGCUCUGCACUGCAGUGGCAUGCCCAGAGGACGCUAGAGCCAGGAAGACUAGACCCUUUCAUCCACAGUGUCCCUCCAGCGCCCUCUAUUGACAGUUUAACAUUAUGCCACCUGAUAAUGUUUUACAGAUUCAGCUCGAUUAUUGCAGAUCAGGCAAUAAAGGACAGAUUUAGGGCUGAGAGGCAAUAAAUUGAUACUCUAUCAUUAAGUAGAUAAGUAUGAUGUUGAAAUAUCCACGUCCUAGAAAUGCACCAGGAAUGUCAGCAGUGGUUGGAAAGAAUAAUCACCUUUUCAAAGUACUAAUGUUUCCAUCAGGCAGGUACUAGACAUCUCAAAUAUAGAGUCAUUAAUUACAAAAAGGUACAAAUGGAAUAGAAGUCCAUAUAUCUCCUCUGAUUUCUUCUGUUAAAAAAAAAAAAGAGUUCACCAUGCAGUCCUCCAAAUUAAAAUGUGAGAACUUUGAUUUUGGAGAUUCUUUAAUAGCAAAGUAGUGGAAAAAGAAAUGAGGUGGGAAAUUUAAGACCAAGAGUCAUUACUUUCCUCCCAGUAUAUGAUAACUGGAUAUGACUCUUUUUGAACAUUAUACAAUUAACCAUAUGGUUCCUACCUUUUCUUGGAAGAUUCUAGGAAAAUUGCAUUUUCUCAAAUUAAAAUAUUGGGACAACUUACUGAAGAAUUACUAAUAAAUGAUAAAACUUUUAGUUCCCCUUAUCAAAGAAACAUGAACGAACUCUGGGAAAAUAGGGAUGAAUUUGAAUUCUCACAUUCUAAAUAGCUGAAUUAAAAUAGAUAGGUACCAUGUGCCCUCAGUUCAACAUACCUUGAACUGUUUGAAAAAUAUUUUUUUCAGUAUUGAGUUACAGAAUGAAUAUUAUGAAAAACCUAUCUACGGUUGAUGUGGAAAAGUGUUAACUGCCUUCACAUGCCCUGUGGGUUUUCAUUCAUCUGAAAGCGUGUCCAGCAUUGGGAUCCAGAUAAUCUUUUAGUGGAUGAUAAUAACCAUUAACAUUUAUUGAGCAAAUACUGUGUUCCAGGCAGUUAUUAGAGCUUUCCAUAUAUUAAUGCAUUUAAUAGUCACAAGAAGUCAGUGAGAUAAAAAAAACCAUUAUUAUCAUCACUAUUUUACAGUUGAGGAAACUUGCCCAAGUCUAACUUACAGAAGUCAAUGAGAUACUUAAUAACAGAGAAAUUUUAUUAAAUCUAGUUCCAAAAUUUGGUAUAUCGAUCAUACUCUCUUUGUAAUAAUACAGUAACUGAAAACAUGAAGAACUUGGAAGUAUACUUCUAUUUUGAUUACAAAUUCUUUCUUCAGAAUCCUGGAGGACAAAUCAAUGACCCCUUAAAGCCUUCAGCAUCAUCGGUUUAGAAGGACAAGGUUUUGCAAUCUGUGAUGUUAUAUUUUAGGCACAUGAAAAUAAACUUCUUUUGUCUAUUGGCACCUAUUUUUGAGAAUUAAAAUUUU